AGCAAGGAGAGGGCGUCUGUUCCACAAAGGUUUGCAAAGUAAAAUUUAAAAAAAUAAAAAUAUAUUAAUAAUAAAAAAAAAAGAAGAAGAAGAAGCAGAAGAAUACAGUAACCGAGCGGUGGCUGAGAGGGGAAUCUGCAAUAACGUUGCAAAGUGUUGCACGCGAAGUGCUGCGGGCUGUGCUGGGGGCGCCGGUUGUGCUCCGUCAUUGCCGGGGCUGCAGGGCGGCACGCGGCUCCCCUCGCGCCGUAGCAAAGUCAGGGCGGAGCGCCACGCGCUGCUUCCUCAGGACCGGCGGUUUUUUGUAAUCCCUCGUCCCGUGGGUUGUGAUAAUCCCGAGGACUCCUCAAUAUACGUGUGCCUGAUGACAGCAGAAAUCCCCGCUGUGGAACCAGAAGCAACGCUUCCAUCUUCUUCUGUGUUUUCACCAAGAGCCCAGUCUCCUCAUCCUGUUUUGCACGUGGAGCAAUGUACCCUUUGACAUAUGGAAUGAUGUGCAAAUAGCUCUUGGAAAAAGAGAGGAUAGAUGAAGUCAGGCUGUGAAGGAUCGCAUCCAGCAGCAGACCUCCCCUGGCACAAGCUCUCUUGCUCCCUUGGCUGGGAUGAGGUGCUGUGGCCCCAGGCAUGGGGCACACUGAGAUGAACUGAGCAGCUUUUUGAAAAUGUCUUGAGAUCCUUGGCAAUGGAGAGAGAUUGCAGUGCAAGCACUUUUCUGGAUUACUCUGUCACCGAUGUCAAAUCAAAGCAUCAAGGAUAUAAAUCUUCAGUAAACAUCUGGCCUCACUUCAGCCAGGUUAUGCAAUGCCUCAAGUACAUUCGGCAGCAGAUUAUGCUGUGUUCUCCACUUGUGCAAUGCAAGCUAAUGUGAAUAUCAAGUCACAUCAGUGGUCUGGACAAGUAGUCGAGAGAUAAAGACGGCAACCCAAACUGGGAAGUUCGGCCUUUCAGCUCCAACUUAAAGGUCAUCAUGUUCGAUCAAGAUAUCGUCUCGUGACAGCUUUGUUGGUAUUCUCAGCAGUGCUUGGGAACAGUGGCUGAUCUUUCAUCACAAACUGUAAAGGAGGUGGUAAUAUUUGAAGAAAGAAAGAAAGAAGGAAAAAAUGCCAGACCCAAGCCUUGCUCACCUGGGGAUCCUGCGUGGGUUGUAAUCCAGCCCUGCUUCGGGACACAACCUUCUGCAUUGCAACCAGCACCAGCACUGAAGAGCAACUCGAGCAGCCUCAGAGGAGAUGACACACAUUGGGCUUCCAUGUCCACAUCCAUGCAGACGUGUUGCCAUCGUUGCCGUGCAGCCAGCAGGGACAGGACGUGGUGUGGCUGACAGCCUUGGGAUGAGGAUAUUCAAUUCUGAGUGACCUGUGAUCUGCUGAGACCUUGUGAGAUGUUGGUCAUGACGUGCUAUCAUUGAAACCUCUGCAAGAAGCUGAUGCUUCAGGAAUCCUAAGCAUCACCAGUCGAAACAAAUUUUGAACUUGCAAGCUGGGAAGGGAGAAAGCAGUUUCCUUUUGAUCUUACUCCAGACAUCCUUUAUUCCAAUCCUGUUGUCAUUUUUGCAAACUGCUCAUGUUGGCACCUGUCUGUGCAGUGACAGAUUUGUGAUGACAGCUUGCAUAACUUAUUUAUAAAAUGAUGAAUUAUUUUGGAAUUUAACUUCAAGUUCACAGACUGGAAAAAUGGAGAAACACCUGCUUCUUGCAGAGGACCUGGUAAGAAAGUCCAAAGGAAACUAUGCAUAUAUGGGAAGCACAUGCAAAGUGAAACAGAACCUUGUGGGUCAUUGUUAUGCUGGUCUAUGCUUCAGCAAGCACUCCAGGGAUGCAAUCCUAAGUUAAGAGUCUCAGUUGUUGGGGCUACAGAGUGUGAGGAAAGUUCCAAAGAGUGUAGUCCACUGGACUCUUGUUUUACUGAACAGUGGUCUCCUCCCAGGGUCAGAUCACACCAGGAGCCAAGGGGAAGUGAAGGGAGAAAGGGGACCUUUAUUCCUCCAAAUAUAUUCCAAUUGCACAACUGAUUAAAAACAUACUCUAAAAGGGAGGGUAAUGCUAAAGAGAUACUAACAGCUGGGAAAUGAACAAACAGUUUGUGUCACGUAGGUGAUAGUUCCUGUUUCUUACUGAAUGUUUUCAAUAAAUCACAGGCAGGGAGCAAGGAUGCUGGACCAUUUUAAUUCAAAAGAGGAAAGACACAGGCAGUCCUAUUGUCAGAGCCUUCAUUCAAGUCCAUUGAAGGACUGGAAGCAUGACCAAAGACAAAAGGAUGUGAGAUAUUUCUGAAGAGCCCUGAAGUGAUGUGUGCCACGUGUGUGAAUUGCUCCACACACCCAACCCAGCACCACGUGCCACCUGACUGCCUCAUGCUCGCAGAAGACAGAAAUCAGAAGAGCUUUUUCCAACCCAAACCUCUCUCUGGGUUUUCUCUCCUGACUUCUGAGUGUGAAAGCAUACCACUCUCAAAAGGCAUUCUGAAACUCCCAGCCAUCCCUUGUAUCACACAUCUUUUGCUUUCUGCUUUUAUGACCAGCUCGUAUGACCCAUGGGACCCCGUGCUUCUGGGUGAAAUCAGCCACCCCAUCGGAAAGCCAUCGUGCAGAGGCAAUUACUUCUGUGCCAUCACUAUUCACCCCAUAUCCUGCUUUCUGUUGGAAGAAACGUUGGCCCGGUUGUCUGUUUUCUAAUUAAGAUUAUAUUCAUUAUAUCUCAGGGACUGGGAAACCUCAUCUGUAACUAUUUAUGUAGCACACCUAUGGCUGCAGGAAAAAAACAUCUUUUUUCGAGUCAUGGGUUUUGUUCCAUGACAUGGCAGUUAGUUAUCUGCAGCAACGUCAGGUAACAGCACCACCUUCUGCCAACAUGAUACCAUCUCCUUAGAAAACCAACAGAUUAAUUUUCUCUCUGUGAUUUCCGUGGCUUUCUCAAACAUUUCUGAUGCAGAAGAACACCACCCUAAGGGCUGUUCUGAAACACCCCAAGCUGCCUUGAACAGUGAUGAAAUUACCAACAUGUAGCCAACUUUAGAGGAGCACCGAAUGCCCUGAGCUGGGCAACACAACUCUCGCUCCUGGGAGGACAGCUGAGCACACCCAUCUGAGUCUUCAUGGAAAACUGCCUUCUUCUCCUCCCUCUUUCACAUAGGUCCCCAGAGCUGCACACAAGGCUACGUCCUAGAUCUUUAGAUGACAUAAGCUGCCUGAAAAUAAUCAUCUUUCUUGCUUUUUUCCUCUAGGUUCUCUUUGUCCUUAGCAGACAACCCGGGGCUGCCCUGCCUUCAGCUUCAGACAGCCAAAUUUUAGGCAGUUGGCUUUCAGAGAGAUGAACAUUACACAAUAUAAGUAUUCACUUUUAAGAGCAAAACUGUGUCUUUACCUCCACAAACGCCCUAUUUUCCUGACAAAUUCUUCCCUCCAUGUGGGACCGAGGUGCACACAGAUCCAAGGAACCCAGGAGAAAUGGUGUCAGUGGACACACAGGUAAAGAAUAAGGUGCUGAUGAGCCAAUCAAUAAACCAGUAAUUAGCUCUGUUUGGGUUUUGGUGUUUUGCUGCAUUAUUUUUCUGCUGGUUUUGAAAAAAGUUUGCUUAUCUUAGUUUUAUAACCACUUAAAUGAAUCCCAGCUCUGUUCAAAUCAAUGAAAGCUUUUGUGAGACAGCUGUAAUUUUAUGUGCAUGUGUUUCAGUAAAUUAGAGGGUUUAGCCUUAAGGAUUCACUUUAGUGUAAUCUACUAAAAAGAUAAGUAGAGCCAGAUGCAGUGUCUUACAACCACUGGACAGUCACAACUGGAGCGACAGCACUGACAGCAACUUUAUGGCUUUUCCUCAUAGGGAGCAGAUUUCUUGACUCAAAAAAAGCAGUAUUUUACAUAAACAAUUGUAAAUAUUUUGUAUUUACAAUGCAAAGAAAGAAGGGUGCAAGGAAGAAAAAGAAA